AGACCCUGCCGGAGCCGCUGCCGCUAUGGAUGAUCGAGAGGAUCUGGUGUACCAGGCGAAGCUGGCCGAGCAGGCUGAGCGAUACGACGACUUAAAACAGGAGACCUGGAAGUUCCUGUAACCUUUCUCUGGCUCCAUUACCCGUGGGUUCUGAUGGAUAGAACCAGGAGACCAGGAGGCCACGACUCUGAGAGUUCGAGCCUUUGUAGAGCCCGAGCCUCCGUCCACCCGUUUGUAAAAACGAUGACUUUACAGUUUGUGCGCACCGUCCUGACAAAUGGAAAGACCUGUUGAAAUAAAGUUAUUUCCAAUAGUGUUCA
rnacentral:sRNA from 1 species